GACGAACGCUGGCGGCGUGCUUAACACAUGCAAGUCGAACGGAAAGGCCCUGCUUUUGUGGGGUGCUCGAGUGGCGAACGGGUGAGUAACACGUGAGUAACCUGCCCUUGACUUUGGGAUAACUUCAGGAAACUGGGGCUAAUACCGGAUAGGAGCUCCUGCUGCAUGGUGGGGGUUGGAAAGUUUCGGCGGUUGGGGAUGGACUCGCGGCUUAUCAGCUUGUUGGUGGGGUAGUGGCUUACCAAGGCGUUGACGGGUAGCCGGCCUGAGAGGGUGACCGGCCACAUUGGGACUGAGAUACGGCCCAGACUCCUACGGGAGGCAGCAGUGGGGAAUAUUGCACAAUGGGCGGAAGCCUGAUGCAGCAACGCCGCGUGCGGGAUGACGGCCUUCAGGUUGUAAACCGCUUUCGCCUGUGACGAAGCGUGAGUGACGGUAAUGGGUAAAGAAGCACCGGCUAACUACGUG
rnacentral:rRNA from 1 species